rnacentral:rRNA from 1 species
UACCUACGGGUGGCAGCAGUGGGGAAUUUUGGACAAUGGGCGCAAGCCUGAUCCAGCAAUGCCGCGUGCAGGAAGAAGGCCUUCGGGUUGUAAACUGCUUUUGUACGGAACGAAACGGUCUGGGUUAAUACCCUGGGCUAAUGACGGUACCGUAAGAAUAAGCACCGGCUAACUACGUGCCAGCAGCCGCGGUAAUACGUAGGGUGCAAGCGUUAAUCGGAAUUACUGGGCGUAAAGCGUGCGCAGGCGGUUGUGUAAGACAGGCGUGAAAUCCCCGGGCUCAACCUGGGAACUGCGCUUGUGACUGCACGGCUAGAGUACGGCAGAGGGGGGUGGAAUUCCACGUGUAGCAGUGAAAUGCGUAGAGAUGUGGAGGAACACCGAUGGCGAAGGCAGCCCCCUGGGCCGAUACUGACGCUCAUGCACGAAAGCGUGGGUAGCAAACAGGAUUAGAUACCCUGGUAGUCUG